GAGGUUAUGGCUCACGUGGUAGAGUGCAUGUUUAGCAUGCAUGAGGUUCUGGGUUCAAUCCCCAGUACCUCCU
rnacentral:tRNA from 1 species